rnacentral:rRNA from 1 species
UACGAAGGGGGCUAGCGUUGUUCGGAAUCACUGGGCGUAAAGCGCACGUAGGCGGAUUUUUAAGUCAGGGGUGAAAUCCCGAGGCUCAACCUCGGAACUGCCUUUGAUACUGGAGAUCUUGAGUCCGGAAGAGGUAAGUGGAACUGCGAGUGUAGAGGUGAAAUUCGUAGAUAUUCGCAGGAACACCAGUGGCGAAGGCGGCUUACUGGUCCGGAACUGACGCUGAGGUGCGAAAGCGUGGGAAGCAAACAGG